AACGAACGCUGGCGGCAGGCUUAACACAUGCAAGUCGAACGCAUCGCAAGAUGAGUGGCAGACGGGUGAGUAACGCGUGGGAACAUACCCUUUUCUACGGAAUAGCUCUGGGAAACUGGAAUUAAUACCGUAUACGCCCUACGGGGAAAGAUUAUCGGGGAAGGAUUGGCCCGCGUUGGAUUAGCUAGUUGGUGGGGUAAAGGCCUACCAAGGCGACGAUCCAUAGCUGGUCUGAGAAGAUGAUCAGCCACAUUGGGACUGAGACACGGCCCAAACUCCUACGGGAGACAGCAGUGGGGAAUAUUGGACAAUGGGCGCAAGCCUGAUCCAGCCAUGCCGCGUGAGUGAUGAAGGCCUUAGGGUUGUAAAGCUCUUUCACCGGAGAAGAUAAUGACGGUAUCCGGAGAAGAAGCCCCGGCUAACUUCGUGCCAGCCGCCGCAGUAAUAC
rnacentral:rRNA from 1 species